rnacentral:rRNA from 1 species
CACCGGCGGCUCGAGUGGUGGCCACUUUUAUUGGGUCUAAAGCGUCCGUAGCCGGCUUGGCAAGUCCCCUGGGAAAUCUGGCGGCUUAACCGUCAGGCGUCCAGAGGAUACUGCCAGGCUUGGGACCGGGAGAGGUGAGAGGUACCUCAGGGGUAGGGGUGAAAUCUUGUGAUCCCUGAGGGACCACCAGUGGCGAAGGCGUCUGGUUAGAAUAGGUCCGACGGUGAUGGACGAAGGCUGGGGGCGCAAACCGG